GUGCUAUGUUUAGAUUGAUCAUUGAGCUUUAUCUCCUGAGCAAUUCUUGAGCAUUGCAAGCACUACAGACUCUCCACUGCACAAUAUCCGGCCAUAUUUUCAGAGCACGACCUGCAUUUUUUACUGCAGCUGAACGCCUGGUUUUGGAUUUUCUCCAAGCAGCAGUUCUUCUUUAUUGUUCUUCCCUCCCACCCUCCCCAACCCUUCACCCCUAUACCCCGCAUCCCCCAC